rnacentral:lncRNA from 1 species
AUGGAUCGCUACUGCAGCAAUCAGAGUUCUCACUUUGCGGAGCUGCACUUUCUAAAGUUGAACUCUCAUUGCUACUGGUGUAAAGACCAGGAUGAAGACUCCACAGAGAAAAUAAGAAUGCUGUCCUCUACCCAGUGUCUGAGGAGUGGAGAAUGUAGAAUCCUCAUAAUGAAACACCAGGGACUGUGGCAGUGAAGUGCCAGAAUGAUACUCUGUGAGCUGCAGCUGGGGGUCUGUCCACUCUUCUAAGCACAACUAUAAUUUAGAACAGCUUUAAUAACCUCCAAAGGUAUAAUAUUAAUUCAAAUGCAAACUUCUGCUCUCCCAAACACUGAGUCUUUCACGCUUAAUUUCUUUCUUGCCUUGUGCAUAUUGCCAUUAUUUUAAUAUAAACCAAGGGCAAAGGAUAAAGUUUUCCACCACAUCCCUCUACUUGAUUAAGUCCUUCUCUACACUGAACUCAGAGCCCUCUAAAAACCUUGAAGACCCUUCUCCAGGUGGAUCUAGUCCCAUCCUAUCAAGUGUCUUACAGCACCAUGUUUGUCCACCUGUAAUAGCACUCAGCACACCAGAAAUGCCUCUCAACACUGGCCUACACACUUCUUGAGAAGAGAAACAGUAUAUGAUUCUUCUGUGCAUUCUCAGAGCCCAGCACCAUCCCUGGAAUACAGGGGAAGUAACUCCAUAUUGAGUUGAAUUUUCAAGACUCUAUUGAAGUCAAAGACAACUUUGGACACCUCUGGACACCUCUUUUUUAUGAAAACUCAUCCAUGAUCAAGAUCUAAAAAAUAAAGACAGUCCCAAGAUAAGGCUAACA